rnacentral:tRNA from 1 species
GCCUGGAUGGCUCAGUUGGUUGAGCACCCGACUUUGGCUCAGGUCAUGAUUUCACGGUUCGUGGAUUUGAGUCCCGCAUCAGGCU